UAAAAACCCCGACUUCGGAAGGGGUGUAUUUAUUAGAUACAAAACCAAUGCCCUUCGGGGCUCUUUGGUGAUUCAUGAUAACUAUACGAAUCGCACGGCCUUGCGCCGGCGAUGGUUCAUUCAAAUUUCUUCCCUAUCAACUUUCGAUGUUUGGGUAUUGGCCAAACAUGGUUGCAACGGGUAACGGAGGGUUAGGGCUCGACCCCGGAGAAGGAGCCUGGGAAACGGCUACUACAUCCAAGGAAGGCAGCAGGCGCGCAAAUUACCCAAUCCCGACUCGGGGAGGUAGUGACAAUAAAUACUGAUACAGGGCCCUUUCGGGCCUUGUAAUUGGAAUGAGUACAAUUUAAAUCCCUUAACGAGGAACAAUUGGAGGGCAAGUCUGGUGCCAGCAGCCGCGGUAAUUCCAGCUCCAAUAGCGUAUAUUAAAGUUGUUGUGGUUAAAAAGCUCGUAGUUGAACCUUGGGCCUGGCUGGCCGGUCCGCCUCACCGCGUGCACUGGUCCGGCCGGGCCUUUCCCUCUGUGGAACCCCAUACCCUUCACUGGGCGUGGCGGGGAAACAGGACAUUUACUUU
rnacentral:rRNA from 1 species